rnacentral:rRNA from 1 species
AGUGUGAAGGCAUAGAGCCUCCACUUUUGUACACCGUAAGGUGGUGUACGAAUAAGGGCUGGGCAAGACCGGUGCCAGCCGCCGCGGUAAUACCGGCAGCCCGAGUGAUGGCCGAUAUUAUUGGGCCUAAAGCGUCCGUAGCUGGCCGGACAAGUCCGUUGGGAAAUCUGUUCGCUUAACGAGCAGGCGUCCAGCGGAAACUGUUCGGCUUGGGACCGGAAGACCUGAGGGGUACGUCCGGGGUAGGAGUGAAAUCCUGUAAUCCUGGACGGACCACCGGUGGCGAAAGCGCCUCAGGAGAACGGAUCCGACAGUGAGGGACGAAAGCUAGGGUCUCGAACCGGAUUAGAUACCCGGGUAGUCCUAGCUGUAAACGAUGCCCGCUAGGUGUGGCGCAGGCUACGAGCCUGCGCUGUGCCGUAGGGAAGCCGAGAAGCGGGCCGCCUGGGAAGUACGUCUGCAAGGAUGAAACUUAAAGGAAUUGGCGGGGGAGCACUACAACCGGAGGAGCCUGCGGUUUAAUUGGACUCAACGCCGGACAUCUCACCAGCUCCGACAGUAGUAAUGACGGUCAGGUUGAUGACCUUACCCGAUGCUACUGAGAGGAGGUGCAUGGCCGCCGUCAGCUCGUACCGUGAGGCGUCCUGUUAAGUCAGGCAACGAGCGAGACCCGCACUCNUAAUUGCCAGCAGUACCCUUUGGGUAGCUGGGUACAUUAGGUGGACUGCCGCUGCUAAAGCGGAGGAAGGAACGGGCAACGGUAGCUCAGUAUGCCCCGAAUGAGCUGGGCAACACGCGGGCUACAAUGGUCGAGACAAUGGGAUGCAACUCCG